rnacentral:lncRNA from 1 species
GGGGAAGGGCCAUGUGACAGGAUCUUGAGCAUGCUAGGCAGAUGCUCUACCACUGAGUCACACCACCAGCUCUUUGUUUUCAGUUAUUUUGAGCUCGUGCCUUAGGAUGGGAUUGCCAGGACAUACUAGUAAUUUAUGUAUGCGCACUUCUGUUGCUCUUGAGCCUUGUGCAGUGCUGUUGGCAGCUAGAGCCAGGAGCUACCUCCUUCAUGAGUCAGAUCAGUAGGUUCACACUGCCCUUCUUCCUCUUGAGAGAGAGGCAUCCCCAAUGAAACAGGAUGGAUAUUUUAAAGUUGGCAUCACAGAAGACUCAGUACUGGAUCUCAGCUGUCACAAAGAUGGUGUGGGUAUGGAGCAAAGUGGGACGCCAGGAGGAGCCAUGCUGUGGAUGGAGGAAGGAUGCAAGUGAAGCACAGCUUCAUAAUCACACAAGGCAUUCCAUCUAACAACAUCAUAUGCUGGUUCUCACUAACCAGGUAGGUACCAGGCAGCAUCAAGGAGCAUUUGCUGAGCAUCCUUUGUGUUGGCCAAUGAGUGAGAUAAGGGGAGCCAUCAAAUCCAUAUGAGAAAUAAGCCUUAAUGACAACAAUUUGUCAGACACUGUUUCCAUUCAUUCAUUCAUCAACAUUUGGGUGCCAUUGAGAGAAUGAAAUGAUUUAACCCAUCUCAUUCAUCAUCCAAACCAGGAAACAAAUUGUAAAAGUCAUGCUUUUCUAGAUUACCUGACAGGGGAUAUAUGAAGCUGUGGAGGGAACAGGGAAGACAACAGGCUGUAUGUCAUCUUCCAGGCAGCUGGAUGAUAGGAACACACAUAUCCUGGCUAAUGGUGGGUAAAACCUUCAGUUAUUCAGGACUAUGUACUUACACCCACAGUUGCAAGGAACAACAGCACAAGAAAAUGAGACAAAUAACUAAGGCCACACUCUGUAGCAUUUACUCAACAAACAAUACGUACUUAAUUUAGGCCAGAACUAUUCAAGGGGUUUGGGGAGUUGAGAGGUAGGUCCUGUUCAGACCACCAGGCUGGUGAGCAACAGAACGGAGACUCCAGCAGAGCUCUUGCUAAUUGGAAGAGCCUGGGCUAUGUUGUUUCCAAGCACCUAAUGACAAAUCUCUUGGUUUCUCAUCCCUUCAGCUGCCUACUCUGCAGUAAAGUCUUCUCCAGUCACAGCGGCUGGCCCAAUGGCCUCCUCAGACAGACUUUGAACUAAGGCAAUCUGCAUCUGGGCCAUCAGCCAGUUCUUGAGUCCUUAGUCAAUGUGGGGAAAGCACACAGGCGAGGAAGUAAAAAAAUUGUCUUAAGCAUUUUACAGAAAUGGGGAUACUGAGCAU